rnacentral:rRNA from 1 species
CGUGAAUUCAUAGCGUAUGAGAAGGUAGACCCGGAGAACUGAAACAUCUUAGUACCCGGAGGAAGAGAAAGAAAAUUCGAUUCCCUGAGUAGCGGCGAGCGAAACGGGAAGAGCCCAAACCAACAAGCUUGCUUGUUGGGGUUGUAGGACACUCUUUUAGAGUUACAAAAGAAUGAGUUAGACGAAUAACCUGGAAAGGUUAAUCAAAGAAGGUAAUAAUCCUGUAGUCGAAAACUGAUUCUCUCUUGAGUGGAUCCUGAGUACGACGGAGCACGUGAAAUUCCGUCGGAAUCUAGGAGGACCAUCUCCUAAGGCUAAAUACUCUCUAGUGACCGAUAGUGAACCAGUACCGUGAGGGAAAGGUGAAAAGUACCCCGGAAGGGGAGUGAAAGAGAACUUGAAACCGUGUGCUUACAAGUAGUCAGAGCCCGUUAAUGGGUGAUGGCGUGCCUUUUGUAGAAUGAACCGGCGAGUUACGAUCUGAUGCAAGGUUAAGCAGGAAAUGUGGAGCCGUAGCGAAAGCGAGUCUGAAUAGGGCGAAUGAGUAUUUGGUCGUAGACCCGAAACCAGGUGAUCUACCCUUGGUCAGGUUGAAGUUCAGGUAACACUGAAUGGAGGACCGAACCGACUUACGUUGAAAAGUGAGCGGAUGAACUGAGGGUAGCGGAGAAAUUCCAAUCGAACUUGGAGAUAGCUGGUUCUCUCCGAAAUAGCUUUAGGGCUAGCCUCAAGUGAUGAUUAUUGGAGGUAGAGCACUGUUUGGACGAGGGGCCCCUCUCGGGUUACCGAAUUCAGACAAACUCCGAAUGCCAAAUAAUUUAACUUGGGAGUCAGAACGUGGGUGAUAAGGUCCAUGUUCGAAAGGGAAACAGCCCAGACCACCAGCUAAGGUCCCAAAAUAUAUGUUAAGUGGAAAAGGAUGUGGCGUUGCCCAGACAACUAGGAUGUUGGCUUAGAAGCAGCCAUCAUUUAAAGAGUGCGUAAUAGCUCACUAGUCGAGUGACACUGCGCCGAAAAUGUACCGGGGCUAAACAUAUUACCGAAGCUGUGGAUUGUCCUUUGGACAAUGGUAGGAGAGCGUUCUAAGGGCGUUGAAGCAUGAUCGCAAGGACAUGUGGAGCGCUUAGAAGUGAGAAUGCCGGUGUGAGUAGCGAAAGACGGGUGAGAAUCCCGUCCACCGAUUGACUAAGGUUUCCAGAGGAAGGCUCGUCCGCUCUGGGUUAGUCGGGUCCUAAGCCGAGGCCGACAGGCGUAGGCGAUGGAUAACAGGUUGAUAUUCCUGUACCACCUAUAAUCGUUUUAAGCGAUGGGGGGACGCAGUAGGAUAGGCGAAGCGUGCUGUUGGAGUGCACGUCCAAGCAGUGAGACUGAGUGUUAGGCAAA